UACGAAGGGGCUAGCGUUGCUCGGAAUCACUGGGCGUAAAGCGCACGUAGGCGGAUUGUUAAGUCAGGGGUGAAAUCCUGGAGCUCAACUCCAGAACUGCCUUUGAUACUGGCGAUCUCGAGUCCGGGAGAGGUGAGUGGAACUGCGAGUGUAGAGGUGAAAUUCGUAGAUAUUCGCAAGAACACCAGUGGCGAAGGCGGCUCACUGGCCCGGUACUGACGCUGAGGUGCGAAAGCGUGGGAGCAAACAGGG
rnacentral:rRNA from 1 species